GCAAACUUGGUCAUUUAGAGGAAGUAAAAGUCGUAACAAGGUUUCCGUAGGUGAACCUGCGGAAGGAUCAUUAUCGAAGGGGGGAGACCCCCUGCGAGAUAGCACCCUUGAUUUUCGAGUACCUUCUGUUUCCUCGGCGGGUUCGCCCGCCAAUGGGGACCAACUCAAAACCUUUUUGCAAUAGCAGUACCUUCUGAUAAGCAAAGCAAAAGUCAAAACUUUCAACAACGGAUCUCUUGGUUCUGGCAUCGAUGAAGAACGCAGC
rnacentral:misc_RNA from 1 species